UACCAGCACCCCGAGUGGUCGGGACGAUUAUUGGGCCUAAAGCAUCCGUAGCCGGUCAUGCAAGUCUUCCGUUAAAUCCAGCCGCUCAACGGUUGGGCUGCGGAGGAUACUACGUGGCUAGGAGGCGGGAGAGGCAAGCGGUACUCAGUGGGUAGGGGUAAAAUCCGUUGAUAUCAUGGGGAACACCGAAAGCGAAGGCAGUACAUUGGGCCACUCCUGACACUGAAACACGAAAGCGUGGGUAGCGAAUGGG
rnacentral:rRNA from 1 species